AUUCGACAGUCCCCGCUCUGAGAGGGAGGGACAGAGAGCGAACUGUCAGAUCGGAGCGAGAGCGGGCGCCCGAGAGAGGGAGAGAGAGAGAGGGAGGGAGAGGAAAAGUGAGAGAGGGAAAGAGAGCGCGAACGAGGGCGCAGAGCGAGCUCCUGCUGCAACUCUGCUCCAGCACGGCCAGCGCCAGCGCCCGCCGUCGGUGCACUCUACGAGCCGUGCAGCGUGCCCACUGGAGUUGUUGUGUAUCAAGGAUCGAUCCCCUAUAUGCACACACACACCUCCACCUCCACCAAUGCACUCUUCUUCCUCCUCCUUCUCCAGACAACUGCUGGGAAAAAAAUAAAACACCAACCCCAACCGUCAGCAACAAGGAAAGAUGUCGCAUCAGACUGUGACUGUUGCGAGGAGAAUGAAAAAGGACUCUUGUUUCAGAGGCAACCAAGAGCUCCGGCAAUAGCAACUUCAGAGAAAUGCACCAUCGCAAGAAGUUUUCCUAGGACAGAACAAAACUUGAAACGAGAGGACCAGAGGGGGAGAGCAGGAGCCAGCCUCCCCUCUCCGCACUCGCGAGCAGCCAGCAGCACCACGCCUUCAAGGACGAAAAAGUUUUACUACUCUAAGGGAAAACGAGUGAAAUGUGUUCCUGAGGAGGAGAGGAGAGGAGAGGAGAGAGCGGACAAGAGAAGGAGCGGGCCGGUUGCUGGUCAUCCGUAAUUUGGCUAAGGAAGAAAGGAGCAGCUUCUUUCUUUGUUAUCUCCCGUGAAACCUUCACUUAGCAGGUGGACGGAGCCCCGCGACCGGGCAGAGUCCGGGCUCGCCCGAGGACAGGAGGAGGAGCGGGAGCCCGCGCGUCCCGGGAGAGCGCCCCGAGUGCAGGU
rnacentral:lncRNA from 1 species